rnacentral:lncRNA from 1 species
AAGAUCAUCAGGAGGCAGACAAGAAAGGAGAAUUGGUUCACCAACACCCUGAUGUGAAAAGUGAAAAACCCAAACCUAGGCACACUAGUGAAAUUCAAAAAUAGGUUAUGGGUUGUCAAGACUAUCAAAGCAAACAUAGCUCUUGAAGAUUGAGGAUUCUUAGAGUUGGUGAUAAAGGAAAUUUCUUAGAUGUUGUUGGUGUCAUGGAGGAAGGAAGAACUCCAACAUAAAAUAUAAACACCUACUGAUGGGUGUUUGGGCUUUACCGGGUCAAGCUAAUGAUGUUAAAAGAGCGCUUGUUGGGAGGCAACCCAGUUUUUGAAUUUUUUUUAUCUUUUAUUUUGUUUUAUUUGAUUUGAUUUUAUUUGAUUUUAUUUUAUUUUAUUUUUUAGGUUAUAUGCUGCUUCUGAAGGCAGAGAUGACAACAUUUACUGAGGGAUGUUAAGAAAGAUUAGCAUCUACUGAUGGAUGCUAUAGGAUUAGAAAUCUACUGAGGGAUGUCACUGACAACAUUUAUUGAUGAAUGCUACUGGGAUAACAUCUACUAAGGGAUGCUAGAAGAUAUAGUAUCUACUGAAGCAUACCAGGAAGGUACACCUACUGAUGGGUGAUGGUAAGGUUUGCACCUACUGAUGGGUGCUAGAAAGGUUUGGGUCAGGCUCGUGACAUUAAACAAGCGCUACCU